rnacentral:rRNA from 1 species
UACGGAGGGCGCAAGCGUUGUUCGGAAUCAUUGGGCGUAAAGCGCGUGUAGGUGGCUUGGUAAGUUGGGUGUGAAAGCCCGGGGCCCAACCCCGGAAUUGCAUUCAAAACUGCCUGGCUGGAGUCCCGGAGAGGAAGGCGGAAUUCCCGGUGUAGAGGUGAAAUUCGUAGAUAUCGGGAGGAACACCAGUGGCGAAGGCGGCCUUCUGGACGGUGACUGACACUGAUACGCGAAAGCGUGGGGAGCAAACAGG